UACAGAGGUCCCGAGCGUUGUUCGGAUUCACUGGGCGUAAAGGGUGCGUAGGUGGUGAGGUAAGUCGGAUGUGAAAUCUCCGAGCUCAACUCGGAAAUGGCAUUGGAAACUACCUUGCUUGAGGGUUGGAGGGGGGACUGGAAUACUUGGUGUAGCAGUGAAAUGCGUAGAUAUCAAGUGGAACACCAGUGGCGAAGGCGAGUCCCUGGACAGCUCCUGACACUGAGGCACGAAAGCUAGGGGAGCAAACAGG
rnacentral:rRNA from 1 species